AAACUAAAAAGAAAAAACAGAAAAGUAACAGAAUAGGCAAACGUGGAGAGGGGAAGGAAAGGAAAGGAAAGAAAGAAAAGGGAAAAUUCAAGGUUUGAAGCUUUAAAGUUUAAUAGCUAACGUUGUCUCGGGAAAUUUCGGCUAAGUAAGGAAAAAUGGCAAAGACAACGAGAGUUAGCUCGAGAAAAUACGGUUAAGGCUAGACCAUUGAAUCAGCAUCCCAGGCCGAUCCCGAAUUCAAUAAGGUAAAGUAUGUUAAGUAUUGGUAAUGACCUGUACCUUGGAUGUCUUAUGAGAGUCAUUUAGGUUGUGAAAGUGUUGAUAAAAUAAGUAAAUUAUGGUUGGCAAUGGUAUAUAGUAUGAAUUUGAAAAUUGAAAGAAAAAUUCGUAGUAAUUCUCAUUUAGUCCCGAAUUGAUUUUACUGUUCAUAUUGGACCGCGAGGGCCCAUUAAAGGGACGUCAUCUUAAAAUUAUGAUGAGUCUGAACGUUUAUAUUUAAUUAA